rnacentral:rRNA from 1 species
AUUGAACGCUGGCGGCAGGCCUAACACAUGCAAGUCGAGCGAGCGGCGGACGGGUGAGUAAUGUCUGGGAAACUGCCUGAUGGAGGGGGAUACCUACUGGAAACGGUAGCUAAUACCGCAUACCAUCAGAUGUGCCCAGAUGGGAUUAGUGGGUAGGGGGGGUAACGGCUCCCCUAGGCGACGAUCCCUAGCUGGUCUGAAAGGAUGACCAGCCACACUGGAACGGAGACACGGUCCAGACUCCUACGGGAGGCAGCAGUGGGGAAUAUUGCACAAGGGGCGAAAGCCUGAUGCAGCCAUGCGGCGUGUGUGAAGAAGGCCUUCGGGUUGUAAAGCACUUUCAGCGGGGAGGCGUUACCCGCAGAAGAAGCACCGGCUAACUCCGUGCCAACAGCCGCGGUAAUUC